rnacentral:lncRNA from 1 species
GUUACACUCUCCAUCUAUAAAAAGGGAUCUCUAGAUACGUUCUUCUCUAAGCUCUAAACUCUAUCUUGAGACUCUGGUAAAAUUUCAUUCGAGUGCUCCAUUUCUGUUGAGGCAGAGUACUGACUUGAGCAUCGGAGGGUCUUACCGAAGCACCCCCAACUCCAGUUUAGACUUCCCUUGCAAGUCUCGACGGUGGAUGCGAUCCCCUCGACUCCAGCUUCUCUAGCGUCGGCAAAAUUCUGCACCAGCACAACCAUCUG